ensembl:lncRNA
CCUGAUUGAGAACCAUAAUUAGGCAGCCUGGUUGUCCCUGAUUGAGAACCAUACUUAGGCAGCCUGGUUGUCCCUGAUUGAGAACCAUACUUAGGUAGCCUGGUUGUCUCUGAUUGAGAACCAUACUUAGGUAGCCUGGUUGUCCCUGAUUGAGAACCAUACUUAGGUAGCCUGGUUGUCUCUGAUUGAGAACCAUACUUAGGUAGCCUGGUUGUCUCUGAUUGAGAACCAUACUUAGGCAGCCUGGUUGUCUCUGAUUGAGAACCAUACUUAGGCAGCCUGGUUGUCUCUGAUUGAGAACCAUACUUAGGUAGCCUGGUUGUCUCUGAUUG